GUCUCUGGAGUAGUUGUUUGCUGCCCACCAGAGGCAGCUUCUGAAAUCGUGAUGGACGCUCUCCGAGCAGCUACGCGCCGGGCUGGCUGAGGUGAUGUCUGCACCGGUGCCCACGUGUCUCAGGGGGAAUGGGCUUGCCUGCUUCGUUUCCUGACUCCUCUCCUAGGCGCUUUGAUCCGGCUUUCCAGUUCUUGCACAAGCAAGUUUGUGUCAGCCACGCCCUGGGGAGGAUCCACCGGAUCACCGCAGUCAGCAGCCUGUUCCCAGCGGCCUCUCUGGCUUCCCUAAAGAGGGCAGCUUCCCUCCAGACCAGAAGCCAGAGCUCACUCUCCCUUGUGUCCAGGUGGGAUUUUCUACAACGCUGCUGUGCACGACGUGGAUGCCGUAUGCAUGUUGCUGGGGAAGCCACUCCGGACACUGUGUUUUUUCUGGGACGUGGCUUCUGCCCAGAUAUGGCCGCCUUAAAAGAUGCAGACGCUGUUGGGAUCAGCAUGAAGUUUCCCUGUGAGGCUGUGGUCAGCAUGGACGUCAGCCAGCACUGCACAGACAGCUGCGACCAGGACGUCAGCCAGCACUGCGCAGACAGCUGCGACCAGGACGUCAGCCAGCACUGCGCAGACAGCUGCGACCAGGACGUCAGCCAGCACUGCGCAGACAGCUGCGACCAGAGACUGGAGGGAAAGAACCUCCUGAAAUCACCAAAGAGCAGUUCCUCAGGGCCUUCUGGGUGGCCGUGGCCGCGGA
rnacentral:sRNA from 1 species